UACGUAGGGUGCGAGCGUUAAUCGGAAUUACUGGGCGUAAAGCGUGCGCAGGCGGUUUGUUAAGUCCGCUGUGAAAUCCCCGGGCUCAACCUGGGAAUGGCGGUGGAAACUGGCGAGCUAGAGUGUGGCAGAGGGGGGUGGAAUUCCACGUGUAGCAGUGAAAUGCGUAGAGAUGUGGAGGAACACCGAUGGCGAAGGCAGCCCCCUGGGCUAACACUGACGCUCAGGCACGAAAGCGUGGGGAGCAAACAGG
rnacentral:rRNA from 1 species